GUAAAGGAUGUUACUGUAAACAUACGAUCUGUAACUAGCAAGAUUCGAUUAAGCAAAGAUACAAUGUUUAAAAUAACUUGCAUUAUUUGGCUAUUUCCCUUGUUGCAAGAUUAAUCUGGAUAAUCAGCUGUUAUGCUCUUAUAUUCGUGUCCAACAGAUCUCAUUUGUAGGUCACACCACAUUUGCAAAUUACAUUUUAGCAACCUUUUUGUUUUGUUUUUUUUUAUCACGGACACAUUUCUGAUACAGGGAAACAAAUGGCAUGAUUGUUUUAGUAAUUAUAAUGUUUCUGUUCAUAAUAUGUAGAGUGUAAGGAAAAC